rnacentral:rRNA from 1 species
GACGAACGCUGGCGGCGUGCUUAACACAUGCAAGUCGAACGGAAAGGCCCUGCUUUUGUGGGGUGCUCGAGUGGCGAACGGGUGAGUAACACGUGAGUAACCUGCCCUUGACUUUGGGAUAACUUCAGGAAACUGGGGCUAAUACCGGAUAGGAGCUCCUGCUGCAUGGUGGGGGUUGGAAAGUUUCGGCGGUUGGGGAUGGACUCGCGGCUUAUCAGCUUGUUGGUGGGGUAGUGGCUUACCAAGGCUUUGACGGGUAGCCGGCCUGAGAGGGUGACCGGCCACAUUGGGACUGAGAUACGGCCCAGACUCCUACGGGAGGCAGCAGUGUGGAAUAUUGCACAAUGGGCGGAAGCCUGAUGCAGCAACGCCGCGUGCGGGAUGACGGCCUUCGGGUUGUAAACCGCAUUCGCCUGUGACGAAGCGUGAGUGACGGUAAUGGGUAAAGAAGCACCGGCUAACUACGUG